UAAUGAUCCGAUACCCGUACUUCAAACAGCUCAAAAUUAACAUUGAGGUGUUGAUCAGCAAUGAUCUUCGUGACCAGUGAACAGCCUAAAAGAGUAGUGUUUCGUUAAGUAAAUUGUUUUGAGUGUGGACAAACGUAGUUUCUCAUGUUAGGUCACGAAUUACUGCACGAUUCGAGCACGACUUGCGUUGACGUAAAUGACGGAUCCUUCUACAUUGUCUUGUUGUCCACCGUGUAGCCUGCACCUGUGGCCACACCGAUUUUGAUACUGUGCCACCAAGGUUAGCAGGAUGAUUGGGAACCUUGCAUGGAUGGCGUAGAUGCGAAGACAUGUCGGUCUAUCGUCGCAGAUGAGCCUGAGUAUCCAUCAGUAAAUGAUUGUACGGAUUGUGGGAGUUUUUUUUUACAUUUCUAUAUUUUUGUUGAAUCUAUACAUAGUUGCACAUGUAUAUAAUUGUCUAUAUAAACAAAACGUGACAAGAUGUCCGUACAUUUUUGCUAUGUAUUUCGUAAAGUAAUAUAAGCUUUGUGAAUUUCUCCUGUAUCAUUUCAAAAUAUAUUGGUGUUCAUAUCAAGCACCACGCUCCUAUAGUUUCAUAUAUGAAGAACGCUUAGACAUGCUUGUAUGUAAAACACUUUCAUUAAUGUUAAAGAUACCACCGAGGGCUGCUAUGUUAGAACAAAACCGUGAGUUGUAUCGACAGAAGGUUUUUGUCAUGUUAUAACACAGUAUGAAACAGGAGUAUCUGUAAUGUCACUUGAUGUUUUACUCUUUCCUGGUCCUUGGUAUUUUGUGAUUAAUCAUAUACAUGUAUACAAGUGCACUUGUUUGAUUCGUAAAAUUAAUGCAUUCUUGACCACAGAA